rnacentral:lncRNA from 1 species
CCCCGACACUGGAGGUGGUGCCACCGGGAUGGCCGAAGCAGCUGGGGACAGCCGGUGAGCUUUCCUGCUGUUCCAAGGCAGUGGUGCACCCCGCUCUGCCACGUAAUGGUCCAGAGCGAAGGUUGUUUGGAAAAAUAAGUACUACAUCCCUGAUACAAGAAACUGGGCAUCUUCCUCACAGGUCACCCACACAAGAGCUAUUGAUAUGGCCAGCAGGAUUUCGUUGAUCAGCCCCACAAAAAUCAUCAGAGCCAUGUGCCCCAAUGCUUCCCCCCCAGUGCCAGGCCAAUCAUCUCAUCCCCGAGCAGCACUGCCGGGUACUCACUGCGAAGACUCAGAUGUUUCUGACCAUCUUUUGCAACCCCUGUCCCGGGAAGCCUUACCUGUGCUGCUGGCAUCUUCCAGGCCCAGCAAAGUGCCAAGACAAGGCCUCGUUUCAACCCUUCCUUGAGUAAUUCCCCUUUUCCCUGGGCCAGGUGAAGCCGGGACAUUGCCCACAUUCUCCAGCAGCCUGUAGAGUCCCAGAAGAAAGGUAAACAGGACACUUGUCAGGCUCAAAAGAAGGGCGUGUGUGCUCCCCCAUCAUAAAUAUUUUGGAAAGACUGACUGGAAUGCCGGUAGGUUUCCUUCUGUUGUCUGAGCGGGGGAUUUCCCCUCAUCACUGAUGGGGCUUGGAGUGGGACCAGGCAAAGAGGUGCCAGGGUGGUUAACACAGCUGGAGGCGUGCGUCUGGGUGUUUUGUUCUCCACAAUAAACACAAUAAACGUUUGUGAGAAGGGUGCCCCUGGGUAAGGGUUCAGCACUUGGGAUGAAAGUCAGCAGCUGCAACAGGCCAUGCUCCAACCAAGCAUAUGAUCAGGCCAGAGCAGGCCUGGAGAGGCUUCUCCUGCCCCCAGUUAAAUGGGAAUUGUGCUGGGCUGCAACACGAUGGAGAACUGCAGAAAGGAAAUAGAAAAGGCAGAAUUUGAGGAAACCAAGAGAGCAACUUCCCCCCCAGUUUCAUGGGUUUUGGAAAUAUGUCUGAGAAAACUGGAGAGCAAGGGCUGCAGCCUCCAUCCGUGGUCUCCAUCCAUCGCCCAGGGCUUUGGCAGUGCUGCAAUUCCCAACACGUGUGCAGUGGGGGACAGGCAGCCAAGUGGAAAGCCAGAGAGGUUAUCAGAUCCUGAUAG